rnacentral:rRNA from 1 species
AGAGUUUGAUCAUGGCUCAGAACUAACGCUGGCGGCGUGCCUAACACAUGCAAGUCGUACGAGAAAGUUGGCUUCGGCCGAUGAGUAAAGUGGCGCACGGGUGAGUAACGCGUGGAUAAUCUACCCCUCAGUUGGGAAUAACUCAUCGAAAGGUGGGCUAAUACCGAAUAAUACUGCAUGACUUCUGUUGUGUAGUCAAAGAUGGCCUCUGCUUGCAAGCUAUCGCUGAAGGAUGAGUCCGCGUACCAUUAGCUAGUUGGUAGGGUAAUGGCCUACCCAAGGCAACGAUGGUUAGCUGGUCUGAGAGGAUGAUCAGCCACACUGGAACUGAGACACGGUCCAGACUCCUACGGGAGGCAGCAGUGAGGAAUAUUGCGCAAUGGGGGCAACCCUGACGCAGCAACGCCGCGUGAGUGAGGAAGGUUUUCGGACCGUAAAGCUCUGUCGAGCGGGAAGAAAUGCAUAGUGGCUAAUAUCCAUUAUGCUUGACGGUACCGCUAAAGGAAGCACCGGCUAACUCCGUGCCAGCAGCCGCGGUAAUACGGGGGGUGCUAGCGUUGUUCGGAAUCAUUGGGCGUAAAGAGCGUGUAGGCGGCUGGAUAAGUCAGAUGUGAAAGCCCUGGGCUUAACCCAGGAAGUGCAUUUGAAACUGUUCAGCUUGAGUAAGGGAGAGGAAAGUGGAAUUCCUGGUGUAGAGGUGAAAUUCGUAGAUAUCAGGAGGAACACCGGUGGCGAAGGCGACUUUCUGGCCCUAUACCGACGCUGAGACGCGAGAGCGUGGGUAGCAAACAGGAUUAGAUACCCUGGUAGUCCACGCUGUAAACGAUGUUCACUAGGUGUUGGGGGUAUUGACCCUCUCAGUGCCGCAGCUAACGCAUUAAGUGAACCGCCUGGAGAGUACGGUCGCAAGAUUAAAACUCAAAGGAAUUGACGG